ACCCUUCUUACCAUCAAUUCAUGCUUCAUUACUGACAGUCCGACUGUAAGGGUUGAUGCUUGCUGCUAUGUGGAAGUGACCGAGUGCAUUUGCGUGAUGUGAAAUGUGACGCUGAACUUCAUGAGUACCCUGCUGAUCUGGCAAUACAUCUGUAUUGAGAAAUGGUGCUGCUAAUGCUGGAAGUGCUAGUUUCACAUAUCUGCUCACCCAGAAGAGUAUCUUCUGGUAACAGUGUCUCUGCCCACAGUCGACAGAUGCCAUCGAGACAUGACGUGAGUAACACAUUGCAGACUAAACCCCUA
rnacentral:lncRNA from 1 species